rnacentral:rRNA from 1 species
CACGAACGCUGGCGGCAGGCUUAACACAUGCAAGUCGAGCGCCCCGCAAGGGGAGCGGCAGACGGGUGAGUAACGCGUGGGAAUCUACCCAUCUCUACGGAAUAACGCAUGGAAACGUGUGCUAAUACCGUACACGUCCUUCGGGAGAAAGAUUUAUCGGAGAUGGAUGAGCCCGCGUUGGAUUAGCUAGUUGGUGGGGUAAAGGCCUACCAAGGCGACAAUCCAUAGCUGGUCUGAGAGGAUGAUCAGCCACACUGGGACUGAGACACGGCCCAGGCUCCUACGGGAGGCAGCAGUGGGGAAUAUUGGACAAUGGGCGCAAGCCUGAUCCAGCCAUGCCGCGUGAGUGAUGAAGGCCCUAGGGUUGUAAAGCUCUUUCACCGGUGAAGAUAAUGACGGUAACCGGAGAAGAAGCCCCGGCUAACUUCGUGCCAGCAGCCGCCGCCGUAA